rnacentral:rRNA from 1 species
UACAGAGGGGGCAAGCGUUAUUCGGAAUUAUUGGGCGUAAAGGGCGCGUAGGCGGCUUUGCAAGUGACGGGUGAAAUCCCUCGGCUUAACCGAGGAACUGCCUGUCAGACUGCAUGGCUUGAGACCGGGAGAGGUGAGUGGAAUUGCAGGUGUAGCGGUGAAAUGCGUAGAUAUCUGCAGGAACACCCGUGGCGAAAGCGGCGCGCUGGACCACUACUGACGCUGAGGAACGAAAGCUAGGGGAGCAAACAGG